ACUAUUUUAGUAUAUCCAUUAUAUUAGCUUUUCGUGCUAAAGAAGAUAAAUUUUAUCAAGUAGUA
rnacentral:tRNA from 1 species